CUCCACGUUACAUUGUCAAGGCCCGUCUGCUUCCAAGGUGUGAAAUCUGUCUUUACCUUGACUCUCUGCCUGAAAAAUAUGCGGGCUCGUGUAAGAUGGGGACCUUGAGCUGUGACGGGAGCAUCUUCAAGCCACAGAGCCCGGCUGUCUCACUUUCUAGUUAAGUGGCCACGAGUGAUGUCAUCGUACUAAGCCUUGGUCUCCUCACCAGUCAACUGAGGGUGAAGAUUGUGAGGAUCAAAUGAGAUCAUGAAUAUAAAGUGUGUAGC
rnacentral:lncRNA from 1 species